rnacentral:rRNA from 1 species
AUGAGUGCUAAGAGAAUGAUUUAACAAUUAAUAACUUUCUUUAUUUUAAAAAUUAAAUUUAAUUUUUUUGUGAGGAAGCAGAAAUAAAAAUUAGGGACAAGAAGACCCUAUGAAUUUUAGAUUAAUAUUUAUAUUAGUAAUUAAUUUUAUAUUAAUUUUGUUGGGGCGACAGAAAAAGAAUAACUAUCUUUUAAUAAUAAGUUAAUUUGGAUCCAUUAUUUAGUGAUUUAAUGAAAAAAAUACUCUAGGGAUAACAGCGUAAUAAUUUUGGAUAGUUCUUAUAGAUAAAAUAGUUUGCGACCUCGAUGUUGGAUUAGGAUUCUUUUUUAAUGAAGAAGUUAAAAAAAGAAGUUUGUUCAACUUUUAAACUCCU